UACGUAGGUGGCAAGCGUUGUCCGGAUUUAUUGGGUUUAAAGGGUGCGUAGGCGGCUUAAUAAGUCAGUGGUGAAAGCCGAUCGCUUAACGAUCGAACUGCCAUUGAUACUGCUAGGCUUGAGUAUAGUUGAGGUAGGCGGAAUUGACAGUGUAGCGGUGAAAUGUCAUAGAUAUUGUCAAGAACACCAAUUGCGAAGGCAGCUUACUAAAGUAUAACUGACGCUGAGGCACGAAAGUGCGGGGAUCAAACAGG
rnacentral:rRNA from 1 species